UGCCCAGCACCUCCUAACCCUACCUCCUCGUGGUACUGGCCGGGGUACGAGCGACCUUGGGGAAGAUCGGGUAACCAACCCCGGUGGGAACUUUGGUCGUAUGCUGACAGAGAAGG
rnacentral:ribozyme from 1 species